AUUUAUUGUAUCUGGAACAGAACUAUAUAAAUUGAUCCUAACAUCUAAUAUUUCCAUGAAAGAGUUAUUUAUAUUUUGCCUAAUAUUAAAAAUAAUAAACCUUCAUAAUGAUAUAUGAUGAUUACAAAAUCAUUUCAGAACUUCAGGAGGAUAUAUGGUUAAGUCAGGCCGCCUCAAAAUCACACAGUGAACAUAACUUAGAAACUUUAGGCAACCAUAUAAGUAAUCUUACACUUUGUGAUUUCUAGCGUAAAUUGUGAAGAAAUCAUAAUUAAAUUUGACCUUUCAUGCUGGAAAAACUUUAAAGCACACAUGAUAAAAGAAAGAUUUUCAUUCAUUUCCUUAGACAUACAACUAAGAAAAUUUGGGGGCCAGGCGCAGUGGCUCACACCUGUAAUCCCAGAACUUUAGGAGGCUGAGGCUGGUGGAUCAUGAGGUCAGGAGAUCGAGACCAUCUUGGCUAACACGGUGAAACCCCGUCUCUACUAAAAAUACAAAAAAAUAGCUGGGUGUGGUUGUGGGCGCUUGUAGUUCCAGCUACUCAGGAGGCUGAGGCAGGAGAAUGGCAUGAAUCCGGGAGGCGGAGGUGGCAGUGAGCCGAGACUGUGCCACUGCACUCCAGCCUGGGCGACAGAGUGAGACUGCAUCUCAAAAAAAAAAAAAAAAAAAAAUUGGAAUCAGAGAGAAGGAAAGGGACCUGUUGUAGUCAUUUGGACUUUAGAUAGGGGCCGAGGUUCCCAAGUGAUUUCCUGGUUGCAGAACAGGGCUACAUACACACCUGUGGGAUGGUGGUAUCAGUUACAGAACUAAAGCAUCCUCAUGCAGCUUCAGGAAGAACAUAAACUUCAAGAGCAACUUGUUGGAAACACACGAUGACCCAAAAUGACAAAAUGACAGAGAUGGGAACAGAAAGAUCCCAAUUCAAAGGUAAAAAUAAAGGAGGGGCUGACUCCAGCCCUUUUUCCACCAAUAUCAGAAAUGCUUUUCAUAUCAACAUGAAGUUAGAGAGGAUGUAGACAUUUUACAUUAUCUAACAUCAGUUUUAAAAGAAAACACUGGGAAAUGUUCUCCAAGACUAAGUGUGAUGCAAUAAUAACAAGUAUAACAACUUCUUGCAUUUAGGUAACAUGAUUAGAAUUGGAAUUCCAUUUUGUCAUCUCACUUCCCGGUGGAUAGGAGGGGCAUGCUGCUUGCCACCAUCUUACAGGGAAAGAAGCUGAGAAACCUAGUGGUUAAGAGACUCGUCUUGUGUUGCCCAAUGAAUGAACCAAGCAGCACCUUUUCAUUUAACCAUUAAUGUGGUUGUUUGGAAAUAGCUCUUGCUCCUAGGAAAGAUUGGAGGCAGAGCAGGAAAACUCACUUUUGUAAGACGAGUUCUCAGCUGGAGUUGGGACAGUCUCAUUCUCUCUGUGUCCGGAACCGAACUCAUCAACUUCCUGCCAGAGUUCACAAUCUAUCUAGCUGCUCAACUUCGACCUCUCCUUCUCUCUCACUUCUAAUCUAGCACCAACUCCUGGCAAGUCUACUCUCUAAAUGUCUCCCAAUACUUCUCCCCACCCCACUGCCAUCGUCAUCGCUAGAGACCCAUGAUCUCUUGCCUGGAUUACAGGCAUCCCAGCCUUCAGACUCGCCCUCUCCAAUCUACUUUGUAGUCUGUUGUGACAGUAAUUCUUCUAAAGCGACAUCAGAUAAAGACUGUACUUACUUUUCUAUGUCUCCCUCAAUGAAAGUUUGACCUCAGCAUAAUGCCCACUUUGUGAAAUGGCUUAUAAAGGAGCCCUAGUUUAUCUAUCUGUUUUCCUCUUCCAUCCCUUGCUCCCUUACUCACUAUGUCCCAGUCACACCACAGUUUGUCUGUUCCACCUGCCCUUUCAUCCUUCAGAACUAUGUCCAUGCUGUUGCUGCUGCCACUAACACCCUUCCUUUCCCCAGCCCUUAUACUAGUCAAUUCCUAUUCACACAUCAAAGCUCAUCUUAGCUGUCAUUUUCUCCAGAAACCCUUGUAAUACUGUAUUUGCUCUAACUUGCCUGUAUUCCCAAACUGACUGUAUAUAUUAUAAAGGGAGGGUAUGUGUCUGACUCAUGUACCACUGAAUCCCCAGUGGCUUGCAGUGCCCAGUAAAUAUUUCUCUUUAUUUAGUUUUUAAACUUGUAUUGGAAUAUAGAAUAGCUACAAAACAUGCCCAAAUCAUAAGAAAAUAAGUCAAUCCAUUCUUACAAAUUGAAUACACUCUGUAUCUAGGACCCAUAUUAGGAAACAGAACAUUGCUUAUACCCCAGAAAUCCCCUCAUGUGUCCCUUCCAGGCAAUACACCACCAUGGAUAAUCACAAUCCUGAUUUAUAACAGCAUACAUUAAUUGUAUUUCCUUUUACUUUACAAAAAUCAUAUAGUACAAUUUGCUUUUGUGUCUGAAUUAUUUUGUUCAACAUUAGGUCAGCAAGAUUCAUUCAUAUUGUUGCAUGUGGUCAUGCAUUUUCCUUGCAGAAGUGCCCAAUAAUUAUUUAUUAAGUGAAGAUAAUGAAUGAAACAACAAUCACUAAAAUCCAAAAGAGGAGAAAAGUCUCCACUUGUCACAAAAUGAAGGAAAUGGGUCAACUCCAAUCUUCAACCUGAAUCCCCCAAAGUAACAAGAGAUAUAAGAAAUGGUAUGGUAAUAUGUGUCCCAGGACCCUUUCCAAUGUUAUAAUAGUAAACUGAAACAUCAGCAGCAAUAGGAUCACUCAUUUUCUCUUGUUUUAUCUUUAAGGUGUGUCACUUCUAUAAUCAGAAUCACAGAGCCAGGUGCAAAGGGCAUCAUUUGAAUUAUAGGAUGGUGACUAGAACACACCUUCCUGGAUGUUACAAGCAAGGAAUACGGACGUUAAAUUCUGACUUACUUCCUGUUUUUGUGCUUUACACUAUCCCUUUUAAUAUGCCAAAUGGUCUAUGAAUCCCAUCUGUCAGGAAUUAAAGAUGUACAAUGCAAGUAAAGGAAGUAGCAAAUUAGAAAGUGAUAGAACAGGGGCAGAAUACAGGGACAGAGGGAGGAUGCAUUGAGAACAUCAGGCAGGGAUCCUUGAAGGAUUGUCUUGGUCUUCAACUCUGGCUUCAAAUGAAAAUCACUUAGAGGAAAUGCUGAUGGCUGUGCUCCAUCCCAGACCAAUUGUUUCAGGAUCACUAGGCAUCAGUAUUUUUUCAAGCCUCCCCAGGUGGUUUGUACAUGCAACCAGCUUUGAGAACUGCUAGUUUAAAGCAAAGACCAGAGGGAGACAAUAAACAGACACACCUGUAGUUGUUCCCAAACUUUAUUAUAGGGAAAAGUCACCUGGAGAACUUGUUUAAAUUGUGGAUUCUCCCAAAACCACCCCACCCUAGCCCCAGAAGAUCAGAUUCAGUUGAUCUGGAUGAGCCUAGGGCUCUACAUUUGCCACAAUCUCCGCAGUGAUCCUGAGGGAGGAGAAACCCCAGGGAAAAUAUGGCUAAUGAGGAUGAAAAAACAGACAAGAGGUGGAACUUCAAUGAAGAGGAAAACUCUUCCUAGCCUUGGUCGAGAGCGAGCACACUAAAACUCUGCCCUGAAAGAGGUGCAUGACAUCUAGUUUGAAUAGAAGACUCCUGAAUUAUAACUCUUUUUCUUUCUGUAAUUCAUAGAUAUUAUUCCAGUCUUCUGCAUUCUAGUGUUGCAGAUGCUCUUUAUUUAGAUGAGGAAGCUACCUUCUGUUUGCUGAAUGUAUUAUUAUAAAUCUCCAAGUGUUUCUUGAACUCAUGGGGGAAACCCCCUCACUAGUAGUCUCUGCUGGUGCUUCUACAGAACUGAAGACUUCACGGAACCUGGGAGCCUACAGACCUCAGUAAAGGCCUAACUAAGAAGAUAUAGCUGAAUAAAAAUUGGACAACAAAGAAAGAUGUCAAUGUUUCUAUUGCCAUCAGGCAAUAUUAAUUUUAACUUUUAAGAUGUUUAUUUUGGGCCUUCCCCCACGUGUCACUCCCUUAGUACUGUUUUCUAGGAGAUAAAAGCUACAUUCAUAAAAUAAUCCAUGUUGUUGGUUAAUAAUUUAUUCUUUCAAUGAAAGUUGUUUGCAUUUCAAUCACAACCUUUUAUAAACACUAACUUAAUCUAAAGGCAUGUAUCUGUUUGUAGGACUUUUAAAUAUGACAAGCUAGGGAGGAAGACAUUUUCUUUGUGAAUCCCAUUAUAAUCAUCCUAGAAAUGGAAUUGCUGUAGCAUAGGAUGUGAACACAUUCAGCUUUCUUAGAUAUUACUAGGAAUUUUACCAAUAGCAGUGCAUAAAACUGUUGUUACUCCUCACCCUCUGCAACGCUUGAAGGUAUAAGAUAUUUAAAGUUAUAGAAGUCUGAUAUGUGUAAAAUAUUAAAUUAUUGUGACUUUAAUUUUUAUUAUUUAUUAUUUGCCAUUUGGAUAACUUCUUCUGUGAAUUUACUGUUCAUAUUACUUGUUUGACGCUAGAUUUUUUUUUUUUUUUUUGAGAG
rnacentral:lncRNA from 1 species